CCGAGAUGCAGAAAGGCCAGGUGAAGCAUUGGCCACAGCUGGAGGCGCUCCACCCUAGGCCAGCGGGACAGAAGGAAGCUGGGUCCGAGAAGCCAGGGCUUGGAGCCACAGUGGGGGCUGCCUGGUAGGAGUUGACCAGGGAGGGAGGGUCUGUCGGGCGGGGGCGGGGGCUCUUUGCCUUCCGAUCCAAGCUCCGCCCUCUGCAGCUCUGCUCUGUGUAUCCCAGAGCUGACCCUGCGGCGCCUUUCCCAGGCUCGCGUCCGGUGAGUUCCUAUUGGCCAACGGGAGGCCCCGGUCGGGGAGCGCCCCGGGACAGGCCCCUGUGCCUCCCGCUUUGCGGAGUGACGCAGGCCCUGGGCUACAGCAACCUUACCAGCCCCUCCAGCUUAGAGGUGGCAGUGGCUCUCUGCGGCUGCGAUUUCUUUCUCGGAGCGUCCUCCCCAUCCCGUUCGGCCUCUGCCUCCACCGUCGUCUCUGUAACCCGUUCCCUGUGGGAGAGUCUCUGUUGCGGUGUUCAGGGGUUUCGGUUUUCUGGCUGAACAGUGAUUAACGCGAGGGAAGGCGCUGACGGCAAGGUGGCAGGAAGAACAUUCCAACACAGACCACAACACCUAUGGACCUGGAAAACAUUGUGCUCAGUGAAAGAAGCCAGACACAGAAGGACAAUGUUGUAUGAGGUACCUGGGAUGGGCAGAUUCUGAGAGAUGGAAAAUAGAAUAGAGAUUACCUGGAGAGAGGGGGGAAUUGUUGAAUGAGGACAGAGUUUGUGUUGGGGAUGAUGGAAAAGUUUUGGAUACAGAGAGUUAUGACGAGUAUACAGCAUUGUGAAUUUUUUUUCUUUUCUUUGUUUUUUGUGACAAGGUCUUAUUCUGUUGCCCAGGCUGGACUGCAGUGGUGCAAUCCUAGCUCACUGCAGCUUCGACCUCCCGUGCUCAAGUGAUUUUCCCACCUCAGCCUCCCGAGUAGCUGGGACUACAGGUGCGUGCCACCACGCCUGGCUGAUUUUUCUUGUAUUUUUUUGUAGAGAUGGGGGUAUCGCUAUGUUGCCCAGGCUGGUCUUGAACACUUGGGCUCAAGUAAUUCUCCCGCCUUGGCCUCCCAAAG
rnacentral:lncRNA from 1 species